CUAACAAGGAUUCCCCUAGUAACGGCGAGUGAAGCGGGAUGAGCUCAAAUUUGUAAUCUGGCGGCCUCCGGUCGUCCGAGUUGUAGUCUGGAGAAGCGUCUUCCGCGUCGGACCGUGUACAAGUCCCUUGGAACAGGGCGUCACAGAGGGUGAGAAUCCCGUCUUUGACACGGACUGCCGACGCUUUGCGAUGCGCUCUCGAAGAGUCGAGUUGUUUGGGAAUGCAGCUCAAAUCGGGUGGUAAAUUCCAUCUAAAGCUAAAUAUGGGCGAAAGACCGAUAGCGAACAAGUACCGUGAGGGAAAGAUGAAAAGCACUUUGGAAAGAGAGUUAAACAGUACGUGAAAUUGUUGAAAGGGAAACGCUUGAAGUCAGUCGCGUCUCCCGGGACUCAGCCCUCGCUUCUGCUGGGUGUACUUCCCGGGGCGACGGGCCAGCAUCGAUUUCGACCGUCGGAGAAAGGCCUUGGGAAUGUGGCACCUUCGGGUGUGUUAUAGCCCUCGGUCGUAUGCGACGGUGGGGAUCGAGGACCGCAGCACGCCUCUUUU
rnacentral:rRNA from 2 species